rnacentral:rRNA from 1 species
CAUCCUCCAAGGCUAAAUACUCCUGACUGACCGAUAGUGAACCAGUACCGUGAGGGAAAGGCGAAAAGAACCCCGGCGAGGGGAGUGAAAAAGAACCUGAAACCGUGUACGUACAAGCAGUGGGAGCCCCACCACUAAGCCAGUGGUGAGUCCACGUCAGCAUCCUUUGCCGAAGGUAAGGUUAACGGAGCGCAAGCGACGUUCAACCUCAAAAGAAGCAGAGGGGGCUUAGUGGUGGGGUGACUGCGUACCUUUUGUAUAAUGGGUCAGCGACUUAUAUUCUGUAGCAAGGUUAACCGAAUAGGGGAGCCGAAGGGAAACCGAGUCUUAACUGGGCGUUAAGUUGCAGGGUAUAGACCCGAAACC